CAGAACUUCGCUGUACUCUUGGCCCAUGAGGCUUUCUGCAUGUGAUGAGACGGGACAGACCCUCUCUUCUUCUCUCCAUUGCUAGAUGGAUUCCAGGGGGAACACAAGCUCUGGCAACUGGAUGGAUGGAGCCAGAGACAGACUGUUGCCUCCUGGGCCUCAAGGGAGCCCCCCCAACAGAGCACAUAUCCCUCGAGCUCCUACCGGGUGCCAGGCCCGAGCCAGGGGCUGGGGACCAAAUGAGGAACAAGACAGACAUGGUCCCUGCUCUCCAGGACCUCAAGUCUAAUGAGAGAAAACGGUUGCGAACAGCCAACUGGAAAUAACUAUAUUCCAAGUUAUGAAUUGUGAUCAAUUUAAAAAAACAGGAUGAUGGGAUAUCAAACAAUGGCAGUGAUUUGCUAUCCGGAGAACUAUAAAAUUAAAUCCUGACCUAUUGCCACA